UAUGGGGUACAAGUUAAAUCGGCACCUGGUCAAAUCGGCACCUAAAGAAAAAGUCAAAUCGGCACCCGGUGAAAUCGGCACCUGGUCAAAUCGGCACCUAAUUAUAGUCAAAUCGGCACCCAUUCAAAGUAAAAUCGGCAUCUGAUAAUAAUAGUGAAAUAAUAUAAAUAAUUAUAAUAUAAACCAUUAUUAAUGUGUUUGAAGUUUUCUCAACAUUCUUUUACUGAUGUUUUGAUUAGACUAUUCCGUUCAUUAAUUAAGUAAUCACUUUUAUCAAUCAAAUAAUUAACAUGUUUGUUGUUUUAAUCCUGAACAGGUAGUUAUUGAUGUUUUUUCUUAAACAACUUAAAUAAAAAAACAAUGAAGCCCUUACCCAAGCUGUUAUUAAAUCAUGAGAAAAUUAGAACCAAUAAAAGGGAAAACUAUGAGCCCCCCUCAUCACUAUCACAAUGUCAGACGACAGCUGUAUUAAGUGUGCCAAAGUAGUUAGGCCAAGACAAGAGGCAAUUCAGUGUGAAAAAUGUUCAGGCUGGCAGCACAGAAUCUGUAAUACGGGUAAGUACUCUAACUUAUAUCUUUUUUAAUUUUUUUUUUAAAUGAAGGAACUUUAAUUUCUUUAAUGUAAUAUUAAAUAUUAAAUAUUGUAAUGUAAUUAUAUAGAUUAAAAAAGUACAGGCCCAUAAAAACUUAAUAUUCAGAC
rnacentral:lncRNA from 1 species